UAAGAUGAAGGCCAUGCUGAAUGCAGAGGAUAUGUUUCAUGGCCUAUGUGUCAAACACAAGGCCAGAUCAGGCCCGCCACCAAUCCUAUCCAGCCCGCAGAACACUGAGGCUAGACAUGGGCAGCUAACUGUACCCUAUCCUUCCCGGAAGCCUGCUGUGUACCUUAACCAGGCCAGCAGCGGUCGCCACUGACCAUUUGGUCCCUCAGGAUGUUGAACUCGUGUGACCUCAGACGCAUGCAGCCCUGCUGCUCCCGAUCAUGUGCAUGGCACAGCUCUGUUUCACGCUUGACAGCCAUGCUGCGCCUCUCUGAUCCAUUGAUCUGCUAGCUAUUGCGUGGGUGACUAGAGGCCACUGUGUAGCCCUGCAUCCUGCUGACAAGCCUGUA